GGCUCUUGCACAUGCACACAUAACAAGAACAACAAUUCGAAAGGGGCCGAACAGCAAAGGAGAAAACAAACUUUCGCUUUUCAACAGAUAAAAGGCUCAGAUGGGUUUCUGCCACUGAGCCAACAUGGAGACUGAGGGGAGGCUGGUACAGUCAAUUUACUAUGGGAGUAUUGGAAGUCAGGACACAGAGCGGCUGCUGGAGAGAUUCGGGUAUGAUGGCAGCUUUCUACUGAGAGACAGCAGCACAGUGCGGGGGGCCUACUGUCUGUGUGUGAGGAAAGCACCGUUUGUUCACACCUACAGGCUCCUACGCUCUGCCGAUGGCUGGUGCCUUCAGGAUUCAACAGCCAGAUCACCAACAUUUAGGACUCUGGAGGCACUAAUAGAAGGCUACAGGAGGACUGCUGUAGUUGGAAUAGCCCCGCUCACAGAUCCCCUGGACAAAACACGAGUACGAAACAGCUUGGGCGAAGAGUUUCUUUACAUGGAAAUGAACAACAGCAGCAGCAGCUCUGUGUACUGAGGCCAUCGUGCUCUUAAUCUCUCAGACGAUCAAACCGACAGAAACCACAGCGCCUCGCUCAUCUCGUCUGCCCCUGUUUCUCAAUUUCUUUGUGUAUUUAUUUUCAGUUUUUGUGUUGAUUUAGUCAUGGUUUAAGACAUAUUUUCAGUAGCCCGCAAACUGCUACUGAAAGAUAUUUAAAUGUUUUAACACACGCCAUGAGUGGGAGCACUUUUUUGUUGCUGGUUUUUUGAGUUUUCUUUUGUUUUUGUUUUUUUAAUUUUAUGCAGUGUCUUUUUCAUCAGACCUACGUUCAUCGAUGUUUGUGCCUUUUUGGGUGCAUACAUCAAUGAUUUCUGUCCAAAUGGUGUCAGGCUUAAUGUAAUGUUUUAUGUUGUAGAAGUUUUGACAAGUGCUGUAUUUGGAUCAAGAUUGUUGACGUUUGUUUGCAUUCUGUCUCGUUGAGAAAGUCGUGUACAGUGAACUGUUUGAGUUCUGGUUUAUCGGUUUAUGCUCGCUCAUUGUAACGACGUAGCAAACGCAGCAGAGCAGGAAAGGUAGACCGUGAAAUCUAUUGUGAGCACCAAACUUUCUGGCGCAACGACUUUAAUUGUUCAUUUAUUUUUUUUCAUUUUCACAGAUCUCAAUAACUGACAACAUGUGAUAGCAGGUCUGAAAAUGACUUUAUGGUAUGAAAUCUGUUAAACUUAUGCUACUAAUUAAAUGUUAAUAUAUUUAAAAACUAUCUCAGAUCAAUUAUAGGAGUUUUGUAUAGAAUUCUGUGACUGUGAAAUGUAUACAAACAGUAAAUUCUGGGUGGAAAUGUGCAAAUUUCUUUUCUUAUGGACAGGUAGAAGAUGGAUAAUAAAACAAACAGAGCUUCUCGUCUUGCGCGAAUCAGCUGCAACUCUUGCCAACACCUUCAUUCAUUAAGGGCAGUUUAAAACAAGAUGCUUUAAAGCUAAUACAGCUGUUCUGCCAGUGGUUUUUCCCCACUGAUGCUGUGGACAAGCCUGCACACUUUCUUGUUCCUGUCAGACAUUCAUGCUGCAAAAGCUGAGUAACAUAAACACGUAAAAAAAAGUGUAACAGAGGAGGGGCAAGCAUAAAUGAGGUAAUUAAAAAAAACAUGUAAGUAUGACAAGUAAUUCCAAACAGCUCAAAAAAUAUUAGCAUCCACUCAAAUGGUUCCUGUACAGAUUAGCAAGCAGUGUUUUUGCUAGCUAAAGAUACAGUUGUUGUGUCUUUAAGGGAGAAAAGUAAGGUUAAUGUGUAAUAAAUGUAAUCUGAGGGAUGACAAAAGCUGAAAGAAAGAGGACACAAGAGCUGUGUCCCAAAUGUAGGCUGCAUCCUUCGGAGGCUGCAUUUGAUGGCCGAUUACGUCACAGCCAGGUGACGAAGGCUGUCCCAAUCCGUCGACUACUUCAAAUGCGUCCUUCAUUUCCCCGAAUUUGAAGGAUCGGUCGGGUGUGUCCUUUGUGGCCCACCAUAUCCCAGAAUUCAUAGCGCGGCCCGGCCAAUUUCAGUUUCCAACGAUAAAUGUAAAGCUUACGUGUAAUGUCCCACAUUAAGACAGGAGAUCUGUACACGAUGAGUUGCUCUUAGUUAUCUGAUUAUAUCUUGUUGAAAAUAUCUUUUAAUUAAAAAAAUUGCUGCUUAAUACUAUUCAAAGCCCAGUAGCGAAAGGUUGAUCUUCAACAUGUAAUAAAG
ensembl:lncRNA